rnacentral:rRNA from 1 species
CCUUAACCUGGCCUUGACAUACUAAGAACUUUCCAGAGAUGGAUUGGUGCCUUCGGGAACUUAGAUACAGGUGCUGCAUGGCUGUCGUCAGCUCGUGUCGUGAGAUGUUGGGUUAAGUCCCGCAACGAGCGCAACCCUUUUCCUUAUUUGCCAGCGGGUUAAGCCGGGAACUUUAAGGAUACUGCCAGUGACAAACUGGAGGAAGGCGGGGACGACGUCAAGUCAUCAUGGCCCUUACGGCCAGGGCUACACACGUGCUACAAUGGUCGGUACAAAGGGUUGCUACCUCGCGAGAGGAUGCUAAUCUCAAAAAGCCGAUCGUAGUCCGGAUCGCAGUCUGCAACUCGACUGCGUGAAGUCGGAAUCGCUAGUAAUCGCGGAUCAGAAUGCCGCGGUGAAUACGUUCCCGGGCCUUGUACACACCGCCCGUCACACCAUGGGAGUUUGUUGCACCAGAAGUAGGUAGUCUAACCGCAAGGAGGACGCUUACCACGGUGUGGCCGAUGACUGGGGUGAAGUCGUAACAAGGUAAGCGUAGAUGA